rnacentral:rRNA from 1 species
AGCCAGACUCCUACGGGAGGCAGCAGUGGGGAAUAUUGCACAAUGGGGGAAACCCUGAUGCAGCGACGCCGCGUGAGCGAUGAAGUAUUUCGGUAUGUAAAGCUCUAUCAGCAGGGAAGAAGAUGACGGUACCUGACUAAGAAGCCCCGGCUAACUACGUGCCAGCAGCCGCGGUAAUACGUAGGGGGCAAGCGUUAUCCGGAUUUACUGGGUGUAAAGGGAGCGUAGACGGCGAUGCAAGCCAGAUGUGAAAGCCCGGGGCUCAACCCCGGGACUGCAUUUGGAACUGUGUGGCUGGAGUGUCGGAGAGGCAGGCGGAAUUCCUAGUGUAGCGGUGAAAUGCGUAGAUAUUAGGAGGAACACCAGUGGCGAAGGCGGCCUGCUGGACGAUGACUGACGUUGAGGCUCGAAAGCGUGGGGAGCAAACAGGAUUAGAUACCCGUGUA